rnacentral:lncRNA from 1 species
GGGAAGGCUAGAAGAAAUCCCCAGGGCCCUUCAAGUUCACUGCCCAGGAAAGAAGCCACUGAUUCCUUUCUGCGUGUCAGAACGAACCAACACUGUCUCUCACUCUGUCCUUCAUUAUGACUCAGCCAAGAAAACAGAUUCAAAUAUCUCAUCUGUGGUGCUGCCUUGACUUUAGUUCCUGGCCCCUGCACUUGAACCUGAGACUUUCUCCAGCUGUCACAAUUUGACUGCCAUAGCCGUUCACUUCACUCUAAGCAAACAAGACUUCAGCUGUAUUGAUUACUGGCAAACAGGCAUGUACUCAAGUUGAAAAAGGGAAUUCAAGGGAAGGGUUUUAGAUAAGUAAAGGGAAAACUUGAACUCUCUAUACUUCGAAUAUAAGGAGGUUGAAAAACCAGAAGAUCACUGAAGCCAGGCAGGGAGCUAUAGGUGAGAAACCAUAGCAAGAUCAUUUUUCUCCUGGGCUUCAUAGGGCAUUGGUUCAGGAAGCUAUAAAGAAAACUAAUUUUAUAAUGAACAAAUUCUGCCUUUAUGUGUUAGAGAUGUUCAUUUCUUAUAGUAACCAUCUUUCUCUUAAGUCUCUUGUUUAGCCUACUCACCUGCACCAAAAAACAUCAGAGGAAGAGAGGUUUUAUUCAAGCAAAUCCAACACUGUCAGUAANNNNNNNNNNNNNNNNNNNNNNNNNNNNNNNNNNNNNNNNNNNNNNNNNNNNNNNAGGAAUCUCAAGAAAUGUCGAAGGAAAGUGAGACACAAAGAGAUAGAGUUGCUUUCAUUUGGUUAUUAGUUCUCCUGAUUCAGAAGUUCCCAUUUCAGUAUGAAUUUUGGAGUUCCAGAGUUUUAUUUUAUUGACAAACAUGGCUUUUAUGUGGUGUCUUCCCUUGUAAAUUCUGCAUACUGUUGCGUUCUUUCACAACUGAGACAGUCCACUUUGCCACUGGAUAAAGGGAAAUUUGUCACUGUAGUAAUAUCAAGAGCACCUAGUAGCCAGAAGAGGAAGUAUAGACUAUGAUUCAUUAAUACGUAUUUUGUGCAACAGCUUGAGAGUCAAUUCUUUAUCAAAAUACACCUUGUCUCAAUUUAUUUUUAUCUCAAGCUUUCCACAUUGUGUUGUUUGGAAUAUAUUUAAUGUCAAAGAUCUCCAAGUUCACACCUACACAAACUCUGCCGCCUACAGGUGAUUUAUUAAACUACAGCUUUAAAGUAAUAUUCACAAAAUAAAAAAGGAAAAGUGUU